ensembl:misc_RNA Metazoa_SRP Metazoan signal recognition particle RNA
GCACAGGAGAGGUGGCUCAUGCCUAUAGUCCCAGCUACUUGGGAGGCUGAGGUGGGAGGACUGCCUGAGCCCAGAAGUUCUGGGCUGUAGUGCAGUAUGCCGAUUGGGUGUCCGCACUAAGUUUGGCAUAAAUAUGGUGACCUCCCGGGAGCGGGGAACCACCAGGAGGGGUGAACCUAAGGAGGGGUGAACCAGCCCAGGUUGGAAACAGAGCAGGUCAAAACUCCCGUGCUGAUGAGUGGUGGGAUCACACCUGUGAAUAACCACUGCACUCCAGCCUGGGCAACACAGCAAGACCCCGUCCCC